rnacentral:rRNA from 1 species
UGGGGAAUAUUGGGCAAUGGGGGAAACCCUGACCCAGCAACGCCGCGUGAAGGAAGAAGGCCUUCGGGUUGUAAACUUCUUUGAUCAGGGAAGAAACAAAUGACGGUACCUGAAAAACAAGCCACGGCUAACUACGUGCCAGCAGCCGCGGUAAUACGUAGGUGGCAAGCGUUAUCCGGAUUUACUGGGUGUAAAGGGCGUGUAGGCGGUCUCAUAAGUCAGAUGUGAAAUUCCCGGGCUUAACCCGGGCGCUGCAUCUGAAACUGUGGGACUUGAGUACUGGAGAGGAUAGUGGAAUUCCUAGUGUAGCGGUAAAAUGCGUAGAUAUUAGGAGGAACACCGGUGGCGAAGGCGACUAUCUGGACAGUAACUGACGCUGAGGCGCGAAAGCGUGGGGAG